ensembl:lncRNA
AUGCCUGGACUCUUACAGAAGCCAUUAUUUCGGGGUCUCUUUAAAAAUCAAGCUCCCAUCUCUCUUUCUCUCCCUCCCUCCCUUCUUCCCUCCCUCCUCACCACACCACCCCCAGUGAAAUCUUGGCACCCUGCAAGUGCUCCGUUUCAGCCAGAGAUCCCAGAACCAGCCGCUGUCCCCUGGCAGAAGAGGCCCAGUGCUGAGCCCUGGGUCGCCUCCAAAAGUUUCUCACGAGCUUAGAAAAGAAGAAUGAAAGACAACUCUUAACACAGAAGAGCCCACAAAAGCUACAGCAGCACCAGGGGUGAUGAAGCAGCAACAGACCCAGGUAAGACCCCCGAGACCUAAAGAUGUCUGGGGCCUCCCAGGCCUAUCACUUAGAGGUUCAAACCUCUCCCUGUCUGUAGGGCACUUAUGGAUGAGCAUGGAGGAUACUUGGUGGUGGGGGUUUUGAUUUGUUUCCAAGAAAAAGGAAAAUAAGAAAGGAAGGGGAAACUCAAAGGGAGGAAAAAUGAGCAACAGAGACAUGGGGUACUCAGUGGAUUUGGCUUUGACUGUCUUCUUAGGCCUUGGAACCAUGGAUGAAAUGGCUGACAUCCCCUCAACCUCACCCCACCCAGAACUCUGCUUCUUGUGCAGCCAAUACCAGGGACACUGCAAGUCUUCUCAAGAUGAACUCUUAAGAUAGCCUUUUGUAAGGAGGGACUGGGGUGGGGGAAGGGGGUAGACCGUGACUUCUCUCAGCAGGACACUUCACUGUCUGUGGUUUCAGAAAUGCCAAUCUUUCAAACACCAGGUAGGAAAAAAAGAGGAGGAAGUGAGAAGGUACAUAUGGUAUUUUAGCCAUUUUCCCUUUUACCCAGCAUUUCUGUGCCAUGGCAUUAAGGGUGGUUUGAAAGUAUCUCUGAAAAGCUUCUGAUGCUAUCAAAGUGGGCGAAACACUUUUGAGACUGGUACUUACCUCUCCUAAACUUCUCUCUCUCACACUCACUGAAAGAGUUAAACUAAUAUCAUUCACCCCAAAAUCUGGCUGGAAGAAAGAAGUGAAAACCUUCUGUAGCAACAGGAAAAUCUGAUAUUUCAGAAUCCCUAAAGACCUCCUCCCUAGAUCACCUAUUCCCUGCCAUCUUACAGAGGAGGAAAGUUUUUGUUUUUUGUUUUUUUUCUGACAGUUUAAUUUCAAGAAGUGCUGGAGUGUCUGUUCUUCAGGUGACUGGAUUUUUCAAAACUCAGUUGUAUAUUUGAAAAAGUAAGCAGUAUUACCCAAUUGGAGCCUUUCACUGACCUCCAGAGAGGAGCAUAACAUCUCAAGGGUCUUCCAAUAUUGAUUUCCUUUUAAUCUUCUCCUUUCUAAAGAAAUUCAGUGACAGGGUGUAAAUCUUGAGUAGUUUAGGGAAAAGUUCUUGGAGCUUAACAAAGCUGUCAUUUUCAAUACACUCGAUGACUCUUUUUUUUUUUUUUUUUUUAGCUCUUGCAUGUGACUAGAGGGGUGGCUCAACAAUUCCACACACCCUGGCUGCAUGGCCAAUAUCAAUAUUUUAAAACUAAAUACAAAAGAGACAGAUGACCUCCUGACCCCAGGAAACAGGCCUGCAAGACUGCAAGUAUCCACUACACCAUGCCCAGGGACCUUUUCUUCUUCCAAAUGAACCACAAAAAUCAUACAUGUGUAGCCUGGAAAACACGAUUUUAUAUCCACAAGCAAGAACAUCAAAAAUCCACUCAACAACACAUGUAUAAACAACCAACAAGUACUGAAAUUGCCUGCACUUGAUGGGAAUUGCAAAAUCAUGCCCAGCUCUAUCAGCCCUUAAACUACUACUGUCAAAUUAGGGUAGCAAUUUUUCCCUACUACAAAAUCCACAACGGGUUAGCUUCCCCACCCCCCAUUGCCAGCGCUUUGCCUUUCACUGAAAUGAAUAAAUAACUGUGGAUUUUUUUUUUCCCAUCCUCGGGGAGCUGUUCGGUGUCCCCUGAGGACAAAACUAAAUGAGAAAAAUGACGCUGUUAAUAAUGUCACUGCUGAAAUGCCUGUACUCGACUGUUUAAAAAAAAAAAUACCGUCCCGCUAAGUGUGCCUACAUUUCGGGCACAUUUUCAAACCACCACUGAAUCUGUAUGUAGACUGGCCAGCAUUAAGUUUAGCUGGUUUUCACUUCUGUACAGAAAUGAGGCUAGUUCAUCAACGGAGAUUCCCAGCUUCUAAAGACAUUGCUUUCUGGGAUUACAAAGUCAGCAGUUGCCCUGUAAUUUUUGUAUGAUUUUAAACUUUGAAAAUCACAGUAAUAAUUGUCUUGGUUCACUAACAAUACUUCAGAACUUACAGGCACCUUCACACACAGACUUCUU